AUUUGCAAUCCUAACUCCUAGCGAGGAGGUGGAUCCCACUCCCAAUCCCAGGAGCCUCUGCCUUGGCUCUCAAAAGUCUCACUUCGGACCACCGAUGCCUAAAGUGUAGCCUAAUGCUAAUCCACAGCCCAAGCCCAAACUUGUAUUGCUCAUAUCGAAAGACCAAAUUUCAACUAAUCAUAAUUACUCGGUCCCCAGCUCCUCAUAUCGAAAGACCGAAAAUGGCCUUGGGGUGUUCGGUGAGGGAAUUUCAGUGGAUUGGGAUCCAAAUUCUCACCCGGGUACAUCUUCUACGAGGCCAGUCCUGCUGCCAUUAGCGGCCAAUUGCCUAUUUGCCUCUUCAGACAACAUGCACCCGACCUUACUGCUCCUCGCCUCCUUGCUCCUCCAGUUCCAUCACCGCGCGCACGCCGACUGCGAGCCGGCGACAUGCGGGAAGCUCCCCGUCAGAUACCCAUUCUGGCUCGGCGGCAGCAGCCAGUCCUCGUCAUCCUGUGGUCACCCGGCCUUCCAGGUCUGGUGCGACGACGGCAGCGUGGCUUCCUUGAAGGGCUCCGCCAUCCACGUCCUCGGCAUCGACUACGCCAACAACUCCUUCAUCGCCUCCCACACCAAGGUCUCCGCCGUCAACGGCGUGUGCCGCACCGACUUCAACAUGUCGUCCAGCAUCGCGCUCAGCCCGUUCACGAUUAGCCGCCGGAACCGGGCCCUGUGCUUCCUCUACAACUGCAACGGCACGGAACCGCACGGGCGCGGUUACGUGAACGUCACCUCCAACUGCAGUACUCCCAUUUUCGCGUACCUCGGGGGGAGCUACUACUGGGGCAGCCCACCGGCGAUCGCGACGGGCCGGUGCACGUACACGUACAUGCCUGUGCUUGGGCCGGAGGCCCCCGUCAUGAUGUCUGCCAACGACUACACCUGGCUCCUGAAGGGCGGGUUCGUCCUGGAGUGGGAGGCGGCUACCAUCGGCGACUGCGCCGCCUGCAUCGCGACCGGCGGGCAGUGCCGGUAUGACAACGCCGCCGCGGCAUUCGCGUGCCUCUGCCGCGAUGGCAGCCUGCGCCGGUCGACAUGCGCCAGUGACGGAAGCAGAAGGACUGUGGGGACGAUAAUAUUAAUAGUUUUGAUGGCGGCAACUGCAAGCUUGCUCUUUCCAUGUCUUUGUGUGCUGAUACGUAAGAGGAAGGUGAAAAAAAUACGGUUUCUCCUUGCCAAAAAGCAUAAAAGCACCAGUGAAAGGAACAUUGAGGCUCUAAUAGUAUCAUAUGGGUCCCUAGCUCCAAAAAGAUACAAGUACUCAGAGGUAGCGAAUAUAACUUCUUCUCUCAAUAAUAAGCUUGGAGAAGGUGGUUGUGGAAAGGUUUUCAAAGGAACGCUAUACGAUGGUCGUCGGGUUGCUGUGAAAUUCUUGCAUGAGUGCAAGGGAAAUGGGGAGGAGUUCGUGAACGAGGUCAUGAGCAUUGGCAGGACAUCUCAUGUUAAUAUUGUUAGAUUAUUUGGGUUUUGUUUGGAGGGUUCAAAACGAGCUCUUAUAUAUGAGUACAUGCCCAAUGGUUCUUUGGAUAAGUACAUCUAUUCUGAGAAUCCUAAAGCAGUUUUAGGAUGGGAAAAGCUCUAUACAAUAGCAAUUGGGAUUGCUCGAGGGUUAGAAUACUUGCACCAUAGUUGCAAUACACGCAUCAUCCACUUCGAUAUCAAGCCUCAAAAUAUCCUUCUAGAUCAGGAUUUUUGCCCAAAGAUAGCUGAUUUUGGUUUAGCCAAAUUGUGUCGUACCAAGGAGAGCAAGCUUUCAAUGACUGGUGCUAGAGGAACAAUUGGAUUCAUCGCUCCUGAAGUGCACUCUCGAACCUUCGGAGCUGUUUCAACAAAAUCAGAUGUUUAUAGUUAUGGAAUGAUGUUGUUAGAGAUUGUUGGAGGAAGGAAAAAUGUGAAAUCAGUGGUUCAAAGGUCCAGUGAAAAGUAUUUUCCAGAUUGGAUUUAUGACCACUUUGGUCAAUAUGAUGGAUUACAAGCUUGCGAAGUCACAAGUGAAGUUGAGGAAAUCGCCAAAAAGAUGAGUUUGAUUGGCUUGUGGUGCAUACAAGUAUUACCGAUACAUCGUCCUACGAUAACAAAGGUUUUAGAAAUGUUCGAGAGAGGUUUAGAUGAAUUGGACAUGCCACCGAAGCAAAACUUCAGUCAAAUACUCGAAGGUUCAGCUUACAGUUUGAAUGCAGAAAGCACAAGUGCCAGCAGUGCUACCAAAACACAAGCUUUUAGUGAAGUGCUAAAGAUCAAGGAGUUAAGCGUUGUGAAUUAAAAAAACCCUACGACGGUUACCAACUCUGUGAAAAGGUCACCUACACUAGGUAUACACGAAAGGGACAGCCGAGUGGCAACUUCUGGGCAGAUCGCUUGGCGCCGUACGUCUCAGCAUGGGCCCAAGCCCUUCAGGAUGUCGUGGAGGAGGCGUGUUCAUUUGACGAGCGGAGCUUCGAGGAGUACAUACGGUGGUACGUACCACGUACACGUACACGGUUCACCUUCACCCCAGAGGAUGUUCGACCUCACGUCGCGUCGACUACGGAGGUCUACCCGGGCCAUUGGGACGAGGGCGCUGCAUUAGCGGUCGAUAUCAUUUAUGAUAUCCAUAGGGACGUAGCUGGAACCAUGGACCGCCUCAGGCAAGGGGUGUAGCUCAGUGCGACGGAUGUAGCGGGGUUCAUCAAGCGGGUUUUCUAUAAGACCGUGCGGGCCUUGAAGCUUGCCUCUUGCCAGUCCACUGUAGACGUCGCAGGAGCGCCUCCCAGGUCGAGUGGGGUCCACGCAGAGUCGUCCAAGAGGUCUAAUGUGCACCACUGUCCACGGGGUCGACACCCAAAUGGCCCCCUGUACCACGACCUACAGGACCGGACCCAAUAGGUGCACCUAUUCAUGUCUCGACACUGCCACCUAGAUCGAGCCCAGUGCCGACACCCUCACCACUCACAGGCCACUCAGGUUACUUCAGAGAUGAGGCCGGGCCGUCUUCAGCUAUACCUCGACCGAUCCCACCACCAGCGUUUGACCCCUACUACGGCACGCACACCUGGCCAUCUACUACUGCACCUGCAUACCACAUAGGCCCCUCCAGCCAGUACACAUGGAUGGCGGUGGAACCUUCGGAGUCUUCAUACCCGAGCCAGGAGGAUGAGCCUGGGCCAAACUCCCCGUUCGACCUCAUGAGGGACUUCUUCGGGGGCACACCAGACUGCCACGUCUUCCAGCAGUCCCAGCUACCCAGUGCUCCACUUCGAACACAGCACACCCAGGAGGAGGCCUUAACACCGGUGAUCUCUACUAGGCCUACCAGGCAGGUUGGUGCACCUGACGCCCUUACCUACUCUAGGGGCCACGUGAGGACCAACCAGCGACAGCGGCACCGGGACCAUGAUGGUGGGAAUGGCCGGUGUCAGCAGGGGAGACAGCAGUAGGAUUGUACAUUUGUUUUUGUAACUUACAUAUGCAUAUUCGAUUCGUGACCUAUUCUUACAUAUUCGGACACGUCUAAUCUCUAUGGUCUACUUACCAUGUCGUAACUGCAUU